rnacentral:lncRNA from 13 species
AUGUCUGUCACCUCUCAGGCGUCCUCUGAUCUGAGGGGAAGGACUAUGCGCUCCCACCCCAGAGCCAGCAGUUCCCCAGCGCCCGCCCUGCCCCUGCCCACCCGCCCACCACAGAAGCCAGGCCUUCAUCUCUCUGAUGUAUGGGUCGCUUCUCCUGGCACCCAAGCUUGCUUGAAAGUUGGGAAUACGAUGACUCACUAUUUGGCAGCUCAUAUGUGUAUUUAUUUCAAGACAUUCGUGCUCAUGCUCAUUAUAAUUAGGACUCGAGAAUCAGUACACUCAACUGCCAAAAUCAAGUGCACAAUUCACAUCAACCUCUCAGACCAGACAGAGAGCAGCGGCUGCCACUCACUCCUCCAGCACUGGGGAACGCCGCAGCAGAAACGGGCCUUUGAGACGGGCCAGCCCCGCUGCUGCCGCGUGACUGCUGGGAGCAUGCGCGGGCCAGGCUUUUCUCUCCAGGUCGGAGGAGCUGCAGCAAGAACCCAGGUCCUGGCCCAUGGCAGCCCUGAUCCUUGGUCUGUCCUCAUUGGCCAUUCCCUGGAGCUGUGCCUCAGUUGGGCAGAUGGAGUCUCGCUCCAUCACCAGGCUGGAGUACAGUGGCACAAUCUCGGCUCACUGCAACCUCCAUCUUCCGGGUUCAAGUGAUUCUUCUGCCUCAGCCUCCUGAGUAGCUGGGAUUACAGGUGUGGGCCAUCACACCCAGACAAUAUUUUUGUAUUUUUAGUAGAGACAGGGUUUCACCAUGUUAGCCAGGAUGGUCUCGAUCUCCUGACCUCAUGAUCUGCCGGCCUCGGCCUCCCAAGGUGCUGGGAUUACAGGUGUGAGCCCCCGCCCCGGGCCUCGUCAUGUUUUCUUAACUUCCUUGGCUCACAGUCCUUCCUUCACCAUCAACGCCAGCAGCAUCGGGUCCUCUGACCCACAUAAGGACCCGUGUGAUCAGGGUGGCGCACCCGGGUAAAUCUUCCCAUCUCAAAGUCCUUACCUGAAUUACAUCUGCGAAGUCCCCUUUGCCAUGUGAGGUCACAUAUUCACAGAGCCCGGGGAUUAGGACUUGAACAUUUUUGGAAGCUGAUGGUCCUACCAACAGCACAAGACCUCCAGGUGAUUCUGACACAUAACUCCUAACUCACGGUGAGAGUCAAAUGUUCUAAUGGACCAUCAACAGCUGAAUGUUAAGCAGAGGCCGGACCGGCCUUCCUCCCCAGUGUGGCCCUGUGCCUAUCAAAUUGCAGAGCUUUUGUAAGCAGAUGUUAAUUUGUGAAUAAAUGAAUGACUGUGGAGGCUAAGAGUUGGGAG